UAUACAAGUAACAAUAAUAUUCUAUAUAUGUGUGUGUAUGUAGAACUUAGGCCAAGACCUCAAGGAUCAAACCAACAUGUGAAAGCAUAUGAUUUGGAUAUGGUUGGCAUUACAUUUCUUGACUAGUUGCUUGGUUUCAUCGUUCAAAAGUCACACACACAUGAGCUUGCUCUUCUAGCCUUCAAGUUUCGUAUACAGUUUGACCUCAAUAACAUGUUGACAAAGAAUUGGUCAUGACAAACUCCCAUUUGUAAUUGGAUUGGUGUUGUGUGUGGCAGAAGGCACCCACGAGUUACACGCUUUAGUCGCUUCGACAUGGGUCCUAGAGGUACAAUCGCGAAAGAAUUAGGUCAUCUCUCAUUUCUUGUUCAUUUGGACAUUGGAAACAAUAGUUUCUAUGGCCACAUCGGAGACGAAAUUGGGCAUUUGUGUCAAUUGCAUAUAAACAUUCAAACAAGCUGACGGGUCAGAUUCCUACGAAUUUUGCUUACUUAUCUCAACUUCAGGACUUGAACCUUUUUGACAACAGUCUCACUGGACCUAUACCUGCUGCAGUGUUUAAUCUUUCCCCUUUAGUGAGCAUUUCCAUCGGAAAAAAAUCAAUUUUUUGGGACGUUUCCAAUGGACCUUUGUGACAUUUUGCCAAACAAGGAUUGAACCUUUUGCAGAAUCAGUUGAGUGGUUCUUUACCAACAAGUUUACCCAAUUUUGCAAAACUUGAGAAGAUCUCUGUCUGUCAACAAUUUCACAGAAAGCAUUCCAAUGGUGAUCGGAAACUUGACACAGCUAUAUUCUACUUGGGCCUCGAUAGUUUGAAUGGAGAAUUGCCUUCAACAAUCUUUAACAUCUCGACCUUGGUGGAUAUUGAUGUUUCAUUCAAUCAAAUUUUUGGAAGAUUUCCUAAUGAUCCCUGCCAUCUCUCGACAAAGCUUGAAGUCUUCUAUCUUUUCAACAACCAAAUUUAUGGCCAAGUCCCGUCUAGUAUCUCACAUUGCCUUGUGCUCAAAGAGCUCAAUCUGUCCCAUAACUUACUCACAGAAAGUCUUCCUAUGGCAUCGGAAACUUAUCAGCGCUUCAAUGGUUGUAUUUGUACAGAAAUAACUUGACAGGUACCCAAAGUCCUUCCUUCAAUUCAAAUAAGUGGUGCAGCGUUUGGUAAGACUACUAAACAAUAUUAAAAACAAAAUAGAAGUUAAAAUCUUAUGUACUGUAUCAUUUAAUACUAUCUAAUACUAGUACCGAACAUGUCCCAGAAGUUUUUCUUCGAUGGAAUUAUAUUAAGAUUUGCAAUAA